CUCCUUCUGCCAUUGACUCAGGUUCCUAGACUCUCCAUUAUAUUCUGGUAAACCUCUUCUGGGUCCAUAUCCUAUUUAUAAAUUUCUUAAAAUUACCAGAAUCAUCCUAACGCUCCUGUGCAUCUCUUUUAUGUAUCCCAAUACUGUCCAGAGAAUGAUCUUGCUUCAGCUCCUUCUGCCACUGGCUAAGGGAGGGAGAAGACAAGGAAAACUUAACAAACCCAGGUACUCAGAUUCCCCGACACUCUCUGGCAAGCCUGUCCAAUGUCCCUACCACACCGAUAAAUUCCCCGAAAUAUUCUAACACUCCUGUGAAUCCCUUUCAGAUAUUCGGAAACUGUCCUGAUAAAUAUUGCAAUGUGUUGUAAAAAUAAAUUCUUACUGAUAUUACAUUUUUUCUUUAUAAUAUUAAUAUUAAUUAAUUACUUCACUAACCUAACUAUCGAAAUUUUUCAAUGACCUAACUUACUGCAAUGCGAAUUGUCAGUGUGCACUUAUGUGAAUCGGUCACGUUGAGCUGUGCCUAGCUGUCAAUUUUUGGAGAGGCCACACUAUCGUGUCGGCCGCUUGGACCCAACUUGGACUAGUGCAUUUUUACUAACUCUGUAUAUACAUCACAUCACGAUCACAGAGACAAGCAAUCUUUGAACUUUGAUGCCUCCGGCCGAAACAUCUACAAGUUGCUGCGUAAUUCCGCCAGGGUCGAAGGUAUUUGCCACGAAUGUCCAGGAGCCAGUAUCAAGAGACUCGGUCGAGUCCCGCGCCGAGUACAGCCAACCGGCAGUACGAGCAGCGGGCGAAGACCGAGACUCUUCAUCCGAAGCAACUCGCCCUUAUAUACACGUUAGCAUAGGGCCCUACGAUCCUCUAGUACGCGACUGAAUCAACUCGCGCAUGCACCACAAGGCUCUGUCAGCAAUAAGGACUAUAAUGGCAUGUACGGUCACGCAUUUCUCGACUCGAGUUGCUAAACGCCAUCGAACAGAGUCCGCGCAAGAGUGGAUAGUAGCGAGUGGAACGAAGACAAAGAGUAGUGCUGCGGAGAGUGAGGGAAUAAAAUAAAGGAGAAUGGGCUAGCGCAUGUUGCGGGUCGAUACUCCAGCACUGGCCGGGUACAGUUGCACUGAGCCAGUACGUUCGCACUGAACGAAAGAGAGACCCUAACAGUGGGAAAUACAGAUAUGACAAAGAUACCAAUAAAAUUGAGAGAACGCAUACACUCAUGAAUGAAACAUCGAACGUUGGUCCAGCUGCCUUGGGACAUGGCCCCCUUUUUGAUAAUACGAGAAUAUCUGAUUGUAGACGGCGAGCAGCCUAAUCAUAUACAGAGGUCCUAAUGACGAAUAAUUAAAAAAUCCUAUGGUAAUGGUACAAAAUCUUUUUUUCGUAAAAUUACUUUGCAACGUGUUUCUUCUUUCACUUGAAGGUGGCGAGAGAAAUUCUAGCUAUGGGAAACCGGUAUGGAUAGUUACUUUUGUUUCUUUUAUUAGAUUCCUGUCUGUCCGACUGAGUCACGUGGCUAGUGAUAAUUUUUUUAAAUCGAUGAAUUCUUCUUAUUGUAGAACCUUCUUGUAUGAAUUGUAUAGUAAUAUUUAAAAUAUGUAGGAUAAAUAUUGUUUUGUACUAUACAGUGUACCAUUUUUAUCAAGCAUUCACGCUUGUCCGAUUUUCUAACGGAGACCGGUCAGUUGCCCCUUAAGCGAUUCUGUUGAUAUCUUCUGUCCUACUAACCGUAUUUUAAAUUGUUAAUUUUAUUGAUAUCUGCACGUGGUAGAAUUCGAUCGGCUAAUAAUAAUCGAUUGUUCACCAAACAUUUUUACGCACUUCCGUAAAAAUAUAUUCCGCAAUUUUAUCGGUCAAAAAUCUCUGUAUACAACUACGAGAUUUCCAAA